CCUACGGGUGGCUGCAGUGAGGAAUAUUGGUCAAUGGGCGCGAGCCUGAACCAGCCAAGUAGCGUGAAGGAUGACUGCCCUACUGGUUGUAAACUUCUUUUAUAAAGGAAUAAAGUGAGGCACGUGUGCCUUUUUGUAUUUACUUUAUGAAUAAGGAUCGGCUAACUCCGUGCCAGCAGCCGCGGUACUCCGGAGGCUCCGCGCGUUAUCCGUGUUUAUUGGGUUUAAAGGGAGCGUAGAUGGGUUGUUAAGUCAGUUGUGAAAGUUUGCUGCUCAACCGUAAAAUUGCAAUUGAUACUGGCAGUGUUGAGUACAUGUGAGGUAGGCGGAAUUCGUGGUGUAGCGGUGAAAUGCUUAGAUAUCACGAAGAACUCCGAGUGCGAAGGCAGCUUACUAAACUGCCACUGACAUUGAUGCUCGAAAGUGUGGGUAUCAAACAGGAGUAGAUACCCUUGUAGUC
rnacentral:rRNA from 1 species